AAUACCAACUAAAAGCAAAUUAUUCCGAAAAGUUUUAUGUGUACGCAAAAGAAAUGAUGAUAUUACAGUGUGAUAUUUACAUCAUUGAAGUAGAAUCAAACUAAGAAGUUCAAGAGGAUGAGAACGUUGUCACAUUUACGGACUUUAAUGGAACUAUGAUAGAUGACUGCGCAUUGUUUGAUACUGACAAAAGUACUUCACAUGGAAAGGACAGCAAUCGACAAAAGCUUAUUGGCGAAAUAUGUGGAAAAUAUGUACAGACUCAUGCGCAUUAUUUGAUACUGACAAAAGUACUUCACAAGGAAAAGACAACAAUCGACAGGAACUUAUUGGCGAAAUUUGUGAAAAAUAUGUGCAGACUCAUGCAAACACGAUACGCGCUUAUUGCUUAAAAUGUACCCAAAGGAUUAUAUAUUUAUAAUUUCAUUUUAUUGCACUAAGUGCAUAAACAUAUGAUUAUUUCAUUAAAGCUUUUAUUUAUUUAGCUAUUUUUAAAUGCAAUGGGAAUUCGUUUCAUAAAAACGCCUA